rnacentral:rRNA from 1 species
UGCCAGCAGCCGCGGUAACACGUAAGGGGCAAGCGCUGUCCGGAAUCACUGGACGUAAAGGGAGCGUAGGUGGCGAGAUAAGUCAGAUGUGAAAGUUUGCGGCUCAACCGUAAAAUUGCAUUUGAUACUGUUUUGCUAGAGUAUCGGAGAGGAAAGCGGAAUUCCUGGUGUAACGGUGAAAUGCGCAGAGAUCAGGAAGAACACCAAUGGCGAAGACAGCUUUCUGGACGAUAACUGACACUGAGGCUCGAAAACGUGGGGAACGAACAGGAUUAGAUA